GCUGCUCUAUAUAUCUGUACUUUAAAAACAUACUCAAAUCAUGUGUGGGUCCUACUGGUAAAAAUAGCUGAUUGCACAGUGACAAUAAUGUUUAUACUAAGAAAGAAAGAUAAGCAGCUUUCGAUUUUGCAUUUGUACCAUCACAUGUCAAGUGUUGUGAUUGCUUGGCUGAUCGUAAGGUACUACUCAGAAGAGAUAUCCACGUUUGUCUCUAUGGUUAAUUGUACUGUGCAUGUAUUUAUGUAUAUCUAUUAUUUCUCGCAACAUUUGGAUCGCGUAUUCAAGCGAUCAUUAUGCCGGUCAAACCUUAUAUCACCAUUCUUCAGAUGGUGCAGUUCUUUGGUCUAAUGCUAUACGCGCUUCAAUUCUUAAUGCCAAAUUGUCAAGUGCCGAAUAGUUUUGGCAUUGGGCUUUUACUAAAUGUGACAAUAAAUUGGUACUUAUUCUAUAAAUUUUAUAAAAAUACGUACGUUUCAUCAAAAAUAAAGCAAUAA